CCACUCAGUCUGCUUCCCUAUUUUUGUCCUGUGAGAAUGAGUGCAUUCUUCCCUUCUGUUUCUGUGCAGAUUAUCAUGUAUAUAAUCAUGGAAAUGUGAAAUAAUGUGAAGGAGGCUAUUGAAAUACAUCAAAAGAAGACAGGAAGUUCACUCUGGAGAUUGGCCCUUAAGGAAAGACUUGGAAAAGAGUCUUUCUGAAAGAAAAGGAGAGAUGUGGAUUAUUGAAGAGGAAUGAUAAUUAAUUCAAAAAGAGCUUAUUGAGCUCGUGGUUCCAGAGGCUGGAUAGUUUACUACUGAGGUGCCCGUGUGCGAUGAGGUGAGGGGCAUGCCUUCCUGCAGAAUCACCACAUCGCUGGACACGUUGUAAGGAGAAAGUAAAGAACGCGACAGAACGUUCUCUUGCAAGGGCCUGUUGAGAUCACUGUGGAGGAACAGCAUUACCUGCAUGCCGGAGAGGCCAGCAGGGCCUGCAGUCCCACUCUGCAACGUGGUAUCCAGGUCACAAAGGUAGUGACAGACUCAAGAUGAGGAUACAUAUUCUGCCUUCACGAUGAGUUCAUCUGAAGUGGGACUGGCACUUAGCUGUCACCUGCAAAGUGAAAAAGAGAGAUGCAGUCACUGCUCUGGGCUGACCUCCGAAAGGCCCUUCUCUAAUUCUUUUGACUUGUAGAAGGCAAUGACUACUCAUGUUCUGAAAGCUGAUCGUGGGCUGGAGGCACCCUGGAGGGGUUUGGGUGAGGGACAAAUUAUCUCAUAUUGUACCAUUUUCUUGUAGUUUACUGUGUUAUUAUUUAAUUCCUUGGAUAUUUGUAAUACAUGUAAGGCUUAGAGAUUUGAUUAGCUUUAGGUUUCCAUUACUGAGCUUCUUCAAUGAAGAGAAUUUGUCUUUAUUUUAACAUUUAAAAAUUUUAUUAUUUUUAUUUUAUGUGUAUGAAUGUAUUGUCUGCAUGAUAUAAGUAUACCCACGUCCUACAA